GCCAGGUGUGGUGGCUCAUGCCUGUAAUCCCAGCUGCUAGGGAGGCUGAGGCAGGAGGAUCAGAGUUCAAAGCUAGCCUCAGCAAUGGUGAAGCGCUAAGCAACUCUUUGAGACCCCGUCUCUA
rnacentral:sRNA from 1 species